rnacentral:rRNA from 1 species
GAUGAGCGCUGGCGGCGUGCCUAAUACAUGCAAGUCGAGCGAACGGACGAGAAGCUUGCUUUUCUGAUGUUAGCGGCGGACGGGUGAGUAACACGUGGAUAACCUACCUAUAAGACUGGGAUAACUUCGGGAAACCGGAGCUAAUACCGGAUAAUAUUUUGAACCGCAUUGUUCAAAGGUGAAAUACGGUCUUGCUGGCACUUAUAGAUGAAUCCGCGCUGCAUUAGCUAGUUGGUAAGGUAACGGCUUACCAAGGCAACGAUGCAUAGCCGACCUGAGAGGGUGAUCGGCCACACUGGAACUGAGCCACGGUCCAGACUCCUACGGGAGGCAGCAGUAGGGAAUCUUCCGCAAUGGGCGAAAGCCUGACGGAGCAACGCCGCGUGAGUGAUGAAGGUCUUCGGAUCGUAAAACUCUGUUAUUAGGGAAGAACAUAUGUGUAAGUAACUGUGCACAUCUUGACGGUACCUAAUCAGAAAGCCACGGCUAACUACGUG